GAGUUUUACUUUUUACACCAUGCCAUUUGAUGCACUAAAUUGAGAAAAACGUUGGCUGGAAGUUGGGAAAGAAAUAUUGCAUGGAGGUUUUGUUUUUUUCUUGCUGGAAGUGGAAGUUGUAUACUGCAUGUAUUGUAGUGAGCAUUUAUUUGUUGCGCUGGAAGUUGUAUACUGCAUGUAUUGUAGUGAGCAUUUAUUUGUUGCGCUGGAAGUUGUAUACUGCAUGUAUUGUAGUGAGCAUUUAUUUGCUGCAUGUUGUUUUUGUCACGUAGUGAACACCUAUUUUUUUAUUUUAUUUUUUUAUUAUUAUUAUUUUUAUUUUAUUUUAUUUAUGUAUAAAAAUAACAGAGACAUGGUUCGAACCCAUGUUUGUCCCGUUACCAGCGCCUUGUUUCAUCCGCUAAGGCAUAAACAAAAGUUGUU
rnacentral:lncRNA from 1 species